rnacentral:rRNA from 1 species
GAUGAACGCUGGCGGCGUGCCUAAUACAUGCAAGUCGAGCGAACAGACGAGGAGCUUGCUCCUCUGACGUUAGCGGCGGACGGGUGAGUAACACGUGGAUAACCUACCUAUAAGACUGGGAUAACUUCGGGAAACCGGAGCUAAUACCGGAAAAUAUAUUGAACCUCAUGGUUCAAUAGUGAAAGACGGUUUUGCUGUCACUUAUAGAUGGAUCCGCGCCGCAUUAGCUAGUUGGUAAGGUAACGGCUUACCAAGGCGACGAUGCGUAGCCGACCUGAGAGGGUGAUCGGCCACACUGGAACUGAGACACGGUCCAGACUCCUACGGGAGGCAGCAGUAGGGAAUCUUCCGCAAUGGGCGAAAGCCUGACGGAGCAACGCCGCGUGAGUGAUGAAGGUCUUCGGAUCGUAAAACUCUGUUAUUAGGGAAGAACAAAUGUGUAAGUAACUAUGCACGUCUUGACGGUACCUAAUCAGAAAGCCACGGCUAACUACGUG